rnacentral:rRNA from 1 species
UAGGGAAUCUUGCGCAAUGGGCGAAAGCCUGACGCAGCCAUGCCGCGUGAAUGAUGAAGGUCUUAGGAUUGUAAAAUUCUUUCACCGGGGAAGAUAAUGACGGUACCCGGAGAAGAAGCCCCGGCUAACUUCGUGCCAGCGGCCGCGGUAAUACGAAGGGGGCUAGCGUUGCUCGGAAUUACUGGGCGUAAAGGGCGCGUAGGCGGAUGUUUAAGUCGGGGGUGAAAGCCCGGGGCUCAACCUCGGAAUUGCCUUCGAUACUGGACAUCUUGAGUACGGGAGAGGUGAGUGGAACUCCGAGUGUAGAGGUGAAAUUCGUAGAUAUUCGGAAGAACACCAGUGGCGAAGGCGACUCACUGGCCCGUUACUGACGCUGAGGCGCGAAAGCGUGGGGAGCAAACAGGAUUAGAUACCCUGGUAGUCCACACCGUAAACGAUGAGUGCUAGUUGUCGGCAUGCAUGCAUGUCGGUGACGCAGCUAACGCAUUAAGCACUCCGCCUGGGGAGUACGGUCGCAAGAUUAAAACUCAAAGGAAUUGACGGGGUCAUAGCUG